UGGCCUCUGCCAUGUUCGAGCAGGACUCAUGUUUUGUCGAGCCGAUAACGAACUCGCCUGGGGACCUAAGAUUGCCUGGUGCUCGCAUGCCCGCCUGACGGGAUCCGAAAGCCGGGCACGCGGUCGCCCACUUUAGUUAGCGGGUUCGCAAACACGGUCCGAGACGGCAUUGCGGUGGAGGC
rnacentral:other from 1 species